rnacentral:lncRNA from 1 species
UUCAGAAAAGAUUGUGAGGUUUGUCAUGCCUUUAAGAGAGUAAGCCUUUUUCUAUAUCUUAUCCUAUACAGUAUCUAGCACAAUGUGUUGUACACAGUAACCCUUUGAAAACAGUUUUGUACUCACUCAAAAAACAUUUCUUUAUGGAGGAUCAAAGUUCAUGAUCAAAUGAACUGAACUACUUGUUCUUGGCAGGGAACAGCUCCCUCAGAGGCCCAACCAGGAUGAGGCAGAGCCUUUCAAGAGAGAUAAAGGAAAACAGACUAUUGAAUUUGGCAGUUUAAUUCUACACACAUAGUUGAAUGUGGAUAUAUCUGAUAUGGGAGAUGUUUUCAGGAGGACAAUGAAGAUGCAUACUGAAGCCAGCCCCCGUGGGUUCAUCUUUAUAGCAUCUGAAACUAGGACAAGAGGUAAGACGUGUAAAUGUUUCUUCACUGGGAGAAUAUUUAUUGUUUUCAGUUUGCCCUCUAGCACUCAAAUAUUAGUUCAUAAAAUAGUUGUUGGAAAUGUUUAACUUAUUCAAUAUAUUUGUUAAAACUAUUUUUCCUCGUUCAGGCACUUUCAAGAGAAAGUGGGACUUUGGAAAAAGUCCACAACUGAGUGAGAAUGAAAGAUAUAUUUUUAACUUAAUCCAUUUAUUUUAACACAAAGUGGUAGGCACUUCUGUCUGAACCCCGGACCUUCUGCUCAAAAUAUCAGUUUGAGUACAAGAGUUCAUCCUCCUCUUUUACCUUCCACCCCCCCUUACUAAAUUCCAUUGAAAUAACAGGAAUAUUUCUUUAAAAAGUAAUUCAUAAUAACACUCUAAAACAGAAAAGGUGCCACCAAUGGGCAGACAUUUUUGACACAUUUCUGGAGAAAUCAGAGCAGAGAAAAUUACAGCCUGAUACACUAGAAGUUUUGUGGCCAGAGGAAAAAAGCAUAGCAGUUCAUUCCAAACUUCAAAAAAAGGAGAAAGAAAUGAAGAGGGGGAAAAAGGGAAGAGGGGAAAGAAAGGCAUAAGCAACCCCACUCAAGACUAAAAUACUACUAGAUUUAGGCAGAGGUGGUGAUUCCCCAGCCUGCAUCUCUAUUGCCCAUUAUUUAGCCUUGAAGAAAACUUGCUCAUCAAAAUGCCUUGUCCCAUCACACAAAGCAUAUGUGAGCCCAUCGUGUCAAAAGAAGGAUCCAUUAAGAAAAUAGAUUUAUUAAUCUUUGAAAAACCCUUUCCAGCCAUUUGUACUAAGCAACAAAGUCCUUUAUCCAAUAUGAUUUAAUCACCAAAGAUCUCCAAACAUUUAAAGGAAAUCCACAGCAUGAAAAAGGAGCACCAAGGUGAACAAACAGAACAGUUGGCCUUGGAGAAAGCAAAGAGAAUUCUGGUACCAGAAGUUAACUUCUUAAAAAGCCUAUUCCCUGAAAAACCCAAGAGGCUGCUGUGUUAAUAAAAACACAGUGCUUUUUUAGAAAGGAGCA